AUGUCUUUGCUUCUUGUUAGAGCAAAAGCCUUACCCUUUCCUGUAGGAGGAAGAGACUGGAAUAUCACAAAACCCGUAGAACUCAGAAUAAAUAGAAAAAAUGGCUCCUUCAAGUGUCGGGAUCAUCAUCUGAAAGACUGGCAGUCCUGAUCAUGCAAUCGCCAUGUAUUUUUCAGGCAUCUAACAGUUAGUGGCUUUUCAAAAAAUGUGUUAUUUAGUUCCAUUUCUGACUCAUGGAUUUUGAUUGCUUAUUGUUAGUCAGAGCCUCAUUUCAUUCAACUGAAUGUCAAAAAUAAAAUAAACAGAAUGGGUUUAUUUGCUCCUCUUCAGUUUCAUUCCAUGAAAUUAAAUAAUAUCAUCUGAAGCCAAUCUACUUUUGAAGGGACACUUUCAGACGAAUGUUUUUGGAUGUACUUGUUUCUUUUAAAAUAGCUUCUUAAACAACCACUUCAAGCUUUUAUGUUUUACUUACAGGUGUUUUAAUUUUUUUAAUAAUGAAGACAUUAACUUUGAUGUGCAGUUGUGAUUUUUAUCUGUAUCUAGAGCUUUUUCACUUGAAUUUUAAUGGGCCUUAAUAUUUAUUUUUG
rnacentral:lncRNA from 1 species